UAGCUGGCAGUCACCGUGCAGAGCUUCUUCGUAAUUCACGGCAUCCAGCCGACUGAUCUUAAAUGUGCGUGCUUCCAUCUCACAAGAGUUUUUCAGGAGCAUCAGAGCUGAAUUUACUAGAGACUCCUCUUGUGGUUAAGCGAGCUGAAGCUUUGCUCACAGCUGCUUUGGUUUUCCUGGGUUUACUACUCAGUCUAUUCUCACAUCCAGCCCCCACACCAAAGCCUCCUAAUUCCCUCUCACCUCCAGGACAAUCAGUCACUCCUCCACCACCAGCAAAGGAACCUGGCAUACCAUGCAGGGAAGAGAAUUCAAGGGCAAAACAGAUCGUUACGUAUAAAAGCUGGACCCUUCACAGCAAUGGCCAGAGACCUCACCUACGAGUGGACACACUGCGUAGGAACACCAGUUGUCUGGGAUAGACUCUCCAAAUCUUCACUGCAAAAAAGGGGUUCCCCAACGACUGCAGAUCUGGAUGAUGAGAAUGGCGCAAUUGCUGAUGUAUCUUUCUUAAUUACUGUACUUAUUCUCUUGUAGUAGCAAUCAAGUGUGUUUGCCUUCAAAGCUCUUACCGUUACCUUCUUAAUCACUGUUAAUCCUUUGUUACCUUUCUUGACGUAAUACGUUAAGUUUAAACUUGAUUUCACAGAAUAGUCGAGAGUUUGAGCUCUCAUGGUGCUUAUACCUUGUGCUUAGCACCUGGUGGUAAAAAAACGGGUAACUAGGCAGAGACUGUGAACAUAGACCUGCUUUUGUGUAAAAAUCGUGUCACUAAAAUUGACACCAGAAAUUCCUGUAACUUUGGCAGGUUUAUCUGGGGGUUGCAUACUCUUCAGCAGGAUUUCAUACACUUCCUUUCUGUUUUCUGUGUGUGCUCAAUUUGCAUCUCUUUCCUUAUGGAAAAGGAAGCACUUUUCUCACCAGAUACUUUGAAAGCCACAACUGCUUAGCGUUUAUCAGACAGAACGUUAACGAUGAAAUAAUGGCGAAAUUCAAGUGCUAGCAUACACUGCCACAAUUUUUCUUCAGUUUGUUCUGAACUUCCAGCCGCCAGUUGCACUCUUUCUACACAAGAUAAAUAAUCUAUUAUUCUUUAGUACAGCCCUGUUGUUAUGUUAUUAUUUAGUGUUACAUAGCUGGGAAGAAUGAUAAGUAUUCACUGCAUCAAAGGAGUCACAAAUUAAACGUCAGUCUCUUGGGAAAGGAGUGUGGAAUUCUUAAUUUGUUCUGUUUUAAAAUGGGAAGACUUUACAGAGAGAAAGUGAUUUGUAAAGCUCUUUGAGGAUCAUUUUGAAGCUGUGUGAUUAAUUUCUCUUUCUGUUCAUGAAGUGAACCCAGCCACCAGGAGUCCAAGGUGUCCUCUUCAUCCAAAGACAGAGCCAGACCCCUCACAACAAACCGACAGCUUUCUGAACGCAUGGACGCACAGCACAUGUACGUGCAGUGUUGGGGGAUUGUCCCGUCA